rnacentral:rRNA from 1 species
GACGAACGCUGGCGGCGUGCUUAACACAUGCAAGUCGAACGGAAAAGCCCUGCUUUUUUGGUGGGUUCGUGUGGCGCACGGGUGAGUAACCCGUGUAUCACCCGCCCCUCACUUUGGUAUAACCUCAGGAAACUUGGGCUUACUCCGGAUGGGAGCUCCCUCUGCCUGGGGUGGGGUGGAAAUUUUUCGCGGUGGGGGAUGGUCUCGCGGCUUAUCCGCUUGUUGGUGGGGUAGUGGCUUACCAAGGCUUUGACGGGUAGCCGGCCUGAGAGGGUGACCGGCCAAAUGGGGACUGAGAAACGGCCCAGACGCCUACGGGAGGAAGAAGGGGGGAAUAUGGCACAAGGGGCGGAAGCCGGAUGCAGCAACGCCGGGUGCGGGAGGACGGCCUUCGGGUGGUAAACCGCUUUAGCCUGGGACGAAGAGUGAGUGACGGUAAUGGGGAAAGAAGCACCGGCUAACUACGU